rnacentral:snoRNA from 1 species
AUUCCAUGGUGUGGACACUUUCCCAGUAUAUUCUUGAAUCUAUUCUAGGCUUCAUCAAAAUUCUUCGAGAUGCCUUGGCAAAAAACAGAGAUGUCGUGCUUGAGCUU